GGUGGAGAUGCUUCCGAGACGAAAGCACAGAAAGCAAAUGCAGAACUUCCCUGCCUCUCCGUCCUUCCCUCAUUUUGAACAGAGACAGCAGCUACCUGUGACUGCCCUGGGGUGAAUGUGCAGCAUCUGGGGUAAAUUUCUUCCCACGCCUGCCCGCAGCAGUCGAGACAGAAGCUGGCACAGGGCUGCCCUUCUUGUGAGCCAGGCAGCAAAAACCAGGCGCUGAGGCUCAGAACUGCUGACUCAAGCCUCCAUGAAGGAACAGAAAUCCAGAAAGCCGGGCCAGAAAUAGCAUCCGACAGAGCUGACAGCAUAUAAACCACCA
rnacentral:lncRNA from 1 species